GACGUAGGGCGCGAGCGUUGUCCGGAUUUAUUGGGCGUAAAGAGCUCGUAGGCGGCUUGUCGCGUCGAAUGUGAAAUCUCAGGGCUCAACUCUGACAUUGCAUUCGAUACGGGCAGGCUAGAGUUCGGUAGGGGAGACUGGAAUUCCUGGUGUAGCGGUGAAAUGCGCAGAUAUCAGGAGGAACACCGGUGGCGAAGGCGGGUCUCUGGGCCGAUAUCGACGCUGAGGAGCGAAAGCGUGGGGAGCGAACAGG
rnacentral:rRNA from 1 species